rnacentral:rRNA from 1 species
UGGGGAAUAUUGCACAAUGGGCGAAAGCCUGAUGCAGCGACGCCGCGUGAGGGAUGACGGCCUUCGGGUUGUAAACCUCUUUCAGCAGGGACGAAAUUAGACGGUACCUGCAGAAGAAGCGCCGGCCAACUACGUGCCAGCAGCCGCGGUAAGACGUAGGGCGCAAGCGUUGUCCGGAAUUAUUGGGCGUAAAGAGCUCGUAGGCGGCUUGUUGCGUCGACUGUGAAAACCCGUGGCUCAACCAUGUGGUCUGCAGUCGAUACGGGCAGGCUAGAAUUCGGUAGGGGAGACUGGAAUUCCUGGUGUAGCGGUGAAAUGCGCAGAUAUCAGGAGGAACACCGGUGGCGAAGGCGGGUCUCUGGGCCGAUAUUGACGCUGAGGAGCGAAAGCGUGGGGAGCGAACAGGAUUAGAUACCCCCGUAGUCC